rnacentral:rRNA from 1 species
GAUGAACGCUGGCGGCGUGCCUAAUACAUGCAAGUCGAGCGAACGGACGAGAAGCUUGCUUCUCUGAUGUUAGCGGUGGACGGGUGAGUAACACGUGGAUAACCUACCUAUAAGACUGGGAUAACUUCGGGAAACCGUAGCUAAUACCGGAUAAUAUUUUGAACCGCAUGGUUCAAAAGUGAAAGACGGUCUUGCUGUCACUUAUAGAUGGAUCCGCGCUGCAUUAGCUAGUUGGUAAGGUAACGGCUUACCAAGGCAACGAUGCAUAGCCGACCUGAGAGGGUGAUCGGCCACACUGGGACUGAGACACGGUCCAGACUCCUACGGGAGGCAGCAGUAGGGAAUCUUCCGCAAUGGGCGAAAGCCUGACGGAGCAACGCCGCGUGAGUGAUGAAGGUCUUCGGAUCGUAAAACUCUGUUAUUAGGGAAGAACAUAUGUGUAAGUAACUGUGCACAUCUUGACGGUACCUAAUCAGAAAGCCACGGCUAACUACGUG